AGAUCAGGCGGCAGCCAUCCUCAGAUCAGGCGGCAGCCAUCCUCCGGCGCGCGACAGCGAUACGCCGCGGCGGCGGCGACGCGACCGGCGCAACGGCUCCUGACAACUCGACCGCCCUAGCGCGCCGCACGCGCCGGCGUGAUGUCGCCGGAGUGCAGGGCGGAAGUGCCAGUGAAAGUGAGGCGCGCUCCCAAGGGAAAGAAUGGUAAGGAGCAAGUAGGGAAACAUGAAGCAUGAGAAGUCAAUUGACGAAUCUCUUCACUUGAAGUAUACUACAAGUCAUAUAUACUAAUUCUUGAGCGUGGAAAACUGGUGCUUAAAUUGACCCCAUGAUAAAGACCACUGUCAGAUCAGUGGUGUAGUUGAUCUAGGACGGCACAGGGUGCUCAUUGCUUAACUGUCACAUCACUGCUUUUUUAGCUAGUCACAUCGGUGCUUUUGAGAUGUAAGGAACUGGCUGGUGGAGAUGCAUGCUCUGUUGUUGGCCCAAACAAUGUGUGGCUUUGUAAAGUAAAAUUAGUUUGCUUACCAUGAGACUGUUUAGCUAAUAGAACUACUGCUAACUGCAUGGAGUUUCACACUGACACUUCGCUUGAGCUGCCUGCCUUGCAUUUUGUGCAUUAAUCAAUCUUCUAAUCUACUAAAAGUUCAUUCGUUUAUAUGGAGUAUGUUAGGUUGGUAGUCACCCUAGAUCAUUACUAUGUGAAAAUCAUGUUGAAAUGCCUCUCUUUUUUUUCUUUUGUAUGUUAUAUAGGGGAGAAAGUAAAACGAUAUUAGAAUAACUUGCUGACGUAUGACUGUAUAUCUGUUGACCUGGAAAAGGGAGCAUUCUGUUGUUGAUUAAACAAGCUAUGUACUCUUUACUGUUUUCAUGUGACCUUCCAUUAUACAGCGAUGUUGUUGUAAAUUGUUAUUUGACACUAUAUGCAAUGGUUUCAAUUUAAGCAAUUGUUUUGAUAAUGAUUGAUUUUUUUCACUGGAUGUCGUACUACUGCUUGCUACACAAAAAGUCCGCAGUCUGCACCUACUAAAUUGAAAUGUUGCCACUGAAUAUUGUCAAUUGAUUAUAUUAAUAUGGAUUGUUGUUAGGGGUGUGAUUAGCUCUAGGACGAUAGACUUGUGGCACAUUGAAAUGCCUUUCCAGGUGAAGCUCUUUAUUUGCCAGGCUUUUCAAGACUCUCGACAAAAUUCUACCUUACCUCUAGCGAUGGCAAUGAUGACGACAAUUGGCGAACCCAGAUAAGGUGUAGAACUGGCGAUGUUGUCUUUUUGACAUGUCUGUUGUAACCAUCAAGGUUGAAUGCCAAAAGAAUCUUGCCAUAUUCUCAACUGGAACAUGAGAGGCCUCAACACCUCUGCCCUCUGUGCUUCCUGUAGCGUGGUUCACAAUCUGUUCCACAUGUCUCCAAGAGACAAGACGCCUCCAUCAACCACUACCGCCAAUGGAACUGCUGGGACAAAAUUGGUCACCAACAUUGCUUCCCUUCUGCUUAGUUGGCUACCCUGUGUCACCUCGCUUCUUCUUGUGGCUCAACCAGAGCAGGCGCCCUCUGUUGUAUAUAUCAUUCUAGCAGGGUCAAUCUACCUGCCCAUUGCCAUGAACAAAAGAGUGAUGACCAAACAGAGAUCUGGACUGCUCCAGAAACACGAAGAUUUUCCACGGCGUCGACGAGAAUUGACACACAAGGCUAACCUGAGUUCACCAUUCGGUGUGAACAUGCAAACAUGAUCGCAUGGCGUGAUCAUGUCACGUGCUGUUGCAACUCGUUGACAAAUGCACAACACAGACGAUGUCGAAGAAGGCGUAGGAUUUUGGGCAACAAUUGUGCUAUGUUGGAUAUACAUUGCUGGUUAUAUAUCCGAAGGAUACAUAAUUGUAGGGUCGAUUUCGUGACGUCGUCUUCUUCGACCUGAUGCGUUUGACUCUUUUAAGAUGUUUUUGCAUGGUUUGCAAUUUUUUACCCAUGCUGCU